rnacentral:rRNA from 1 species
GACGAACGCUGGCGGCGUGCUUAACACAUGCCAGUCGAACGAUGAAAGAGGAGCUUGCUCCUCUGGAUUAGUGGCGAACGGGUGAGUAACACGUGAGCAAUCUGCCCCUGACCCCGGAAUAACUACGGGAAACUGUAGCUAAUACCGGAUAUGCGCCGAACAGGCAUCUGUAUCGGUGGGAAAGAAUUUCGGUCAGGGAUGAGCUCGCGGCCUAUCAGCUUGUUGGUGAGGUAACGGCUCACCAAGGCGACGACGGGUAGCCGGCCUGAGAGGGUGACCGGCCACAUUGGGACUGAGACACGGCCCAGACUCCUACGGGAGGCAGCAGUGGGGAAUAUUGCACAAUGGGCGCAAGCCUGAUGCAGCAACGCCGCGUGAGGGAUGACGGCCUUCGGGUUGUAAACCUCUUUUAGCAGGGAAGAAGCGAAAGUGACGGUACCUGCAGAAAAAGCGCCGGCUAACUACGUG